CAGCCCUACUAUGGGUCAGAGACUGUUCUUUGGGCAAGAAAUUAGCCAGGAACAAAGCCAUCUGUGCUCAGCAUGGAACUUAGAAUUCGACAGUGGGAAUAAAGAGCAAGUGCAUCACUUAUUACAAAGAAUUCCUCAGUUGAGGGAGGAAUGAAAAGGUGAGGAGAUAUGAGAAGAAGGAAGAAUCCAAGCCCUACAACACAACAGCAUUGCUCUGGAAGACUUCUGCCUGGAGAGAGUCUUUGAAUGGAUCCCUUCAGGAAAAGUUUCGAUUGCCAAAAAUGACCUCCAGAAUCCACCAUGAUCCAGACCUCACCACCUGCCCCAGCUCCCCCCCACACUGUUCCACACACACUCUGCUUCCCACACUCAGGCCAUGCAAGUCACGUGCCUCUCCUCAGCAUGCCUGGCU